GUCUAUGGCCAUGCCACCCUGAACAAGCCCAAUCCCGUCUGAUCUCGGAAGCUAACAGGGUCAGCCCUGGUUAGUACUUGGAUGGGAGACCACCUAGGAAGACCAGGUGCUGUAGACA
rnacentral:rRNA from 1 species